GUGGGGAAUCUUAGACAAUGGGCGCAAGCCUGAUCUAGCCAUGCCGCGUGAGCGAUGAAGGCCUUAGGGUUGUAAAGCUCUUUCGCUGGGGAAGAUAAUGACUGUACCCAGUAAAGAAGCCCCGGCUAACUCCGUGCCAGCAGCCGCGGUAAUACGGAGGGGGCUAGCGAUGUUCGGAAUUACUGGGCGUAAAGCGCGCGUAGGCGGAUUGGAAAGUUGGGGGUGAAAUCCCGGGGCUCAACCUCGGAACUGCCUGAAAAACUCCCAGUGUUGAGUUCGAGAGAGGUGAGUGGAAGUCCGAGUGUAGAGGUGAAAUUCGUAGAUAUUCGGAGGAACACCAGUGGCGAAGGCGGCUCACUGGCUCGAUACUGACGCUGAGGUGCGAAAGCGUGGGGAGCAAACAGGAUUAGAAACCCUGGUAGUCC
rnacentral:rRNA from 1 species